rnacentral:rRNA from 1 species
UGGGGAAUAUUGCACAAUGGGCGAAAGCCUGAUGCAGCAACGCCGCGUGAGUGAUGAAGGUCUUCGGAUUGUAAAGCUCUGUCUUUUGGGACGAUAAUGACGGUACCAAAGGAGGAAGCCACGGCUAACUACGUGCCAGCAGCCGCGGUAAUACGUAGGUGGCGAGCGUUGUCCGGAUUUACUGGGCGUAAAGGGUGCGUAGGCGGAUGUUUAAGUGAGAUGUGAAAUACCCGGGCUUAACUUGGGUGCUGCAUUUCAAACUGGAUAUCUAGAGUGCAGGAGAGGAGAAUGGAAUUCCUAGUGUAGCGGUGAAAUGCGUAGAGAUUAGGAAGAACACCAGUGGCGAAGGCGAUUCUCUGGACUGUAACUGACGCUGAGGCACGAAAGCGUGGGUAGCAAACAGGAUUAGAUACCCUGGUAGUCCACGCCGUAAACGAUGAGUACUAGGUGUAGGAGGUAUCGACCCCUUCUGUGCCGCAGUAAAACACAUUAAGUACUCCG